rnacentral:rRNA from 1 species
GUAAUUCCAGCUCCAAUAGCGUAUAUUAAAGUUGUUGCAGUUAAAAAGCUCGUAGUUGAAUUUCGGGAUCAAUACGUCGGUCGUGCUUCGGUACGUACUGGCGUCAUUGAUUUCUCCCUUCUGACGAACCAUGAUGUCAUUAACUUGGUGUCAUGGGAAAUCAGGACUGUUACUUUGAAAAAAUUAGAGUGUUUAAGGCAGGCUCACGCUUGAAUACAUUAGCAUGGAAUAAUGAAAUAGGACGUUUGACCCUAUUUUGUUGGUUUUUAGGAUCGACGUAAUGAUUAAUAGGGAUAGUUGGGGGCAUUAGUAUUCAAUUGUCAGAGGUGAAAUUCUUGGAUUUAUUGAAGACUAACUACUGCGAAAGCAUUUGCCAAGGAUGUUUUCAUUAAUCAAGAACGAAAGUUAGGGGAUCGAAGACGAUCAGAUACCGUCGUAGUCUUAACCAUAAACUAUGCCGACUAGGGAUCGGAUG